UAGUGUUUAGCAGCUUACGUUUGCUGUUCAUUUAGUAUAAUGGUUUAGAUUUUUAGUAGCUGUUUAAAAUGCUAUAUUUUAGUAGUACUUCGGUAUUUAGUUAAUUCUUACUAGUUGAAUGACUAACGUUUACCACUUAUAUCGUAUAGUAAUCGUUUAGCAGUUUUGUAGUAGUUUGGAAUGUGCAUUCUUGUAGCACUUUAGUAUACAGUUAGUUCUUAGUAGUAGGGUGACUAACUUUCAGCAUUUAGUUAGUAUACUCGUUUAGUGUUUAGUAGCAGUUUAGAAAGUAUAUGUUAGUAGCACUUUAGUGUGUAGAUAGUUCUUAGUAGUAGUCAGUAAGGUUUAGCGUUCAGGUAGUAUAAUCGUUUAGUGUUUUGGUAGCAGUUUAUAAUGUAUAUUUUAGUAGCACUUCAGUAUUGAGUUACUUCGUAGUAGUAGAGUGACUAGUGUUUAGAAUUAGAUAGCAUAAUCGCCUAGUGUUUUAGUAGCAGUUUAGAACGUAUAUUUUAGUAAUGCCUUAGUAUUGAGUUAGUUCGUAGUAGUAGAGUGACUAGAGUUGAGAAUUUAGAUAGUAUAAUCGCCUCGUGGUGGAGUGGCAAUUUAGAAUGUAUAUUUUAGUAGUACUUCAGUAUGUAGUUAAUUCUUACUAGCAGAGUGACUAACGUUUACGACUUAUAUCGUAUAGUAAUCGUUUAGCAGUUUUGUAGUAGUUUGGAAUGUGCAUUCUUGUAGCACUUUAGUAUACAGUUAGUUCUUAGUAGUAGGGGGACUAACUUUCAGCAUUUAAUUAGUAUGCUCGGUUAGUGUUUAGUAGCAGAUUAGAAAGUAUAUGUUAGUAGCACUUUAGUGUGUAGAUAGUUCGUGUGUAGCGAAGCAAUUCUGCUGUGGGGGCGGGGUCAAGUGUAUCAGUUAUGUCUUCACUGACUAUAGGAAAAUCUUGGGGCUUCGUCGUAGCGUUGAGGGGUCGUAAACUCGUCGUCAUUCGCGUAUAUAUCAAUUUUUGUGUCCUCCGGAUCAAUGAGAACCAGGCAGCCAAGCAAUAUGGAAUUGGAUGCAGCAAGACUAACUUCCUUUGAGUGCUUACCGUCGCUUGGAAUUGUGGUAGUUUACUAAUACAAAAGAAACAAACGGCCUCCAAACUGUUCCCAUUUCUUCCCUACCGGUCCACAGUCCACGACGUGUCAAGGUCAGCGAAAGCGAAAUGUGAAGGAUUAUUGUUCGUUCCCCCGCUGAGCAAGCGCCCAAGAUGCAACGCGUGUGCAAGACCACUGGGAUUUACCGAACCCCUCCACUGGGUGCCGGAAGACUAGCUUCCUUUGUGUACACACGGGGAGCUAAUAUUCAGGUGGAUUAGUCAGAGGCGCUAGAAUAUUUCCAAGCCUAGAGGAACGCCACCACGUGUCGUAGCAAUGAAUUAAAAACAACAAUGAACGAAGAAGUUCGACUAUCUUCGUUUAUGGUGCACUGGUAUGUUCUCGGCGCCACAGCAGUUCGAAGAAGAAGAAUGUUCUAGUUCACCAUAAACGAUGACAUCGGGGUAGGUAGGGAACCAAUCACAAGCUGUCAGAUCGUCAAUCAGGACUCGCUUUCUGCAAGGAGCCACUCCGCCUGUGAAAGCUAUCCACGACGUGUCAAGGUCAGCGAAAGCGAAAUGUGAAGGAUUAUUGUUCGUUCCCCCGCUGAGCAAGCGCCCAAGAUGCAACGCGUGUGCAAGACCACUGGGAUUUACCGAACCCCUCCACUGGGUGCCGGAAGACUAGCUUCCUUUGUGUACACACGGGGAGCUAAUAUUCAGGUGGAUUAGUCACAGGCGCUAGAAUAUUUCCAAGCCUAGAGGAACGCCACCACGUGUCGUAGCAAUGAAUUAAAAACAACAAUGAACGAAGAAGUUCGACUAUCUUCGUUUAUGGUGCACUGGUAUGUUCUCGGCGCCACAGCAGUUCGAAGAAGAAGAAUGUUCUAGUUCACCAUAAACGAUGACAUCGGGGUAGGUAGGGAACCAAUCACAAGCUGUCAGAUCGUCAAUCAGGACUCGCUUUCUGCAAGGAGCCACUCCGCCUGUGAAAGCUAUCCACGACGUGUCAAGUUCAGCGAAAGCGAAAUGUGAAGCAUGAUUCUUCGUUCCCCCGCUUAGCAAGCGCCCAAGAUGCAACACGUGUGCAAAGACCACUGGGAUUUACUGAACUCCUCCACUGGGUGCCGGAAGACUAGCUUCCUUUGUGUACACACGGGGAGCUAAUAUUCAGGUGGAUUAGUCACAGGCGCUAGAAUAUUUCCAAGCCUAGAGGAACGCCACCACGUGUCGUAGCAACGAAUUAAAAACAAUAAUGAACGAAGAAGUUCGACUAUCUUCGUUUAUGGUGCACUGGCAUGUUCUCGGUGCCACAACAGUUCGAAGAAGAAGAAUGUUCUAGUUCACCAUAAACGAUGACAUCGGGGUAGGUAGGGAACCAAUCACAAGCUGUCAGAUCGUCAAUCAGGACUCGCUUUCUGCAAGGAGCCACUCCGCCUGUGAAAGCUAUCCACGACGUGUCAAGUUCAGCGAAAGCGAAAUGUGAAGCAUGAUUCUUCGUUCCCCCGCUUAGCAAGCGCCCAAGAUGCAACACGUGUGCAAAGACCACUGGGAUUUACUGAACUCCUCCACUGGGUGCCGGAAGACUAGCUUCCUUUGUGUACACACGGGGAGCUAAUAUUCAGGUGGAUUAGUCACAGGCGCUAGAAUAUUUCCAAGCCUAGAGGAACGCCACCACGUGUCGUAGCAAUGAAUUAAAAACAACAAUGAACGAAGAAGUUCGACUAUCUUCGUUUAUGGUGCACUGGUAUGUUCUCGGCGCCACAGCAGUUCGAAGAAGAAGAAUGUUCUAGUUAACCAUAAACGAUGACAUCGGGGUAGGUAGGGAACCAAUCACAAGCUGUCAGAUCGUCAAUCAGGACUCGCUUUCUGCAAGGAGCCACUCCGCCUGUGAAAGCUAGUAAGUCCGUUCUUUUUCGAUAUGGUAGAGCUCGUGGACGUAGUGGAUAGGGCAGUACGGGUCUUUAGUGUACUUGUCGCCGCGGUGCUCGUCACUGCUGCCAUAAAAGAGGAGGACAUCUUCUUUAGGGUGGCGUGGUCCAUACUCGCACUGGCUUUAUUGGUGGCCGCGCGCCCCGAUAAGCUGUGCAAGUCAUGCUGCGGGCAUAUCUUCUCCUCGGAGGAGGAUAUGAUCCCGCAGCUGACUGUGGACCACAUGCCAUCCGUAUGGCAGUGCGUGGAGCCAAGCACCACGGUGACAAUGAGUGACUAACGUUUAGCAUUCUUGGCUACUGUUGUAUAGCAGUUUGGAAUGUAAUAUUUUAGCAGUACGUUACCUAGUUUUUAAUAGUACUGUGACUAACUUUCAGCAUUUAGUUAGCCUAAUCGAUUAAUGUUUUGGUAGCAGUUUAGAACGUAUAUGUUAGUAAUGCCUUAGUAUUGAGUUAGUUCGUAGUAGUAGUGUGACUAGUGUUUAUAAUAUAGAUAGUAUAAUCGCCUAGUGUUUUAGUAGCAGUUAAGAACGUAUAUUUUAUUAAUGCUUUAGUAUUGAAUUAGUUCGUAGUAGUAGAGUGACUAGGGUUUAGAAGUUAGAUAGUAUAAUCGCUUAGUGUUGUAGUAGCAGUUUAGAGUGUAUAUUUUAGUAAUGCUGUAGUAUUGAAUUAGUUCGUAGUAGUAGAGUGACUAGUGUUUAGAAUUUAGAUAGUAUAAUCGCUUAGUGUUGUAGUAGCAGUUUAGAGUGUAUAUUUUAGUAGUAAUUCGGUAUUUAGUUAGUUCGUAGUAGAGUACCUA